UACAGAGGGUGCGAGCGUUGUUCGGAAUUAUUGGGCGUAAAGGGCGCGUAGGCGGUGCGGUAAGUCACCUGUGAAAUCUCCUGGCUCAACUGGGAGCUUGCAGGCGAAACUGCCGUGCUGGAGUGUGGGAGAGGUGCGUGGAAUUCCUGGUGUAGCGGUGAAAUGCGUAGAUAUCAGGAGGAACACCGAUGGCGAAGGCAGCUCGCUGGGACGGUACUGACGCUGAGGCGCGAAAGCGUGGGGAGCGAACAGG
rnacentral:rRNA from 1 species